AGGCGAAAUGAAGGUGAACGCCGGCGCGGUCCGGCGGAGGUUGGAUCCCGUCCCGUCGGGGCGGGCGCACUACCGGCCGAUCUUCUCCGCCCUGUCGGCGAGGUCGAGCGAGAGCGUGCAAGUCGGGACCCGAAAGAUGGUGAACUAUGCCUGAGGAGGUUGAAGCCAGAGGAAACUCUGGUGGAGGACCGUAGCGAUUCUGACGUGCAAAUCGAUCGUCAAAUUUGGGUAUAGGGGCGAAAGACUAAUCGAACCGUCUAGUAGCUGGUUCCCUUCGAAGUUUCCCUCAGGAUAGCUGGCGCUCUGUCGCAGUUUUAUCUGGUAAAGCGAAUGAUUAGAGGUCUUGGGGGCGAAACGCCCUCAACCUAUUCUCAAACUUUAAAUUGGUAAGAAGCCCGACUCGCUCGUUUGGAGCCGGGCAUGGAAUGCGAGUGCCAAGUGGGCCACUCUUGGUAAGCAGGACUGGCGAUGCGGGAUGAACCGAACGCCGGGUUAAGGCGCCCGACGCGACACUCAUCAGAGCCCACAAAAGGUGUUGGUUGAUAUAGACAGCAGGACGGUGGCCAUGGAAGUCGGAAACCGCUAAGGAGUGUGUAACAACUCACCUGCCGAAUCAAUCAGCCCUGAAAAUGGAUGGCGCUGGAGCGUCGGGCC
rnacentral:ncRNA from 1 species